UGCUACCCGCUAGCCCACCAAUUACACAAAACCCCCCCCCACAACCAAACCAAAACAUUUGACACACCAAGUAUCAGCGACAGAAAAGCACUAACAGACGCAAUAGCAAGAGUACCGCAAGGAACCACUGAAAGACAAAUGAAAUUAACUCAAAGCAUAAUACAGCAAGGAUAAACCCCUGUACCUUUUGCAUCAUGGUUUAGCAAGCAACAACAGAUGUAGAGUCCUGCAACCUGUUCCCCCGAAACCAGACGAGCUACCUUACAGCAAUCCAAAGGAUAAACCCGUCUCUGUAGCAAAAGAGUGGGAAGACUAUAAGAUAGAGGUGAAACGCCUACCGAGCCUGGUGAUAGCUGGUUGCUCAUAAAAUGAAUCUAAGUUCAACUGCAGACCUAACUGAACUACACUAGACAUACCACCGGCACAUCUGUAAGAUAUACAAUAUGGGUACAGCCUUAUUGUAACUGAAUACAAUCAAAAUUAGAGGGACAGUAUUAUAAACAACAACACUAGUAGGCCCUUUAGCAGCCACCAAGAAAGAUCGCGUCACAGCACAAAAGCCUAAAAUCCCAAACAAACACUCCACCCCCUAUAACAAACCGAGCCACUCUAACUACAACUUAGAGGAAACACUACUAAAACUAGUAAUAAGAAUAAAUUCUCUAACCGCACGCCUUCAACUCAGAACUAGAUAAUCUACUGAAAACUAACAGACCACCAAUUCCGGACAGAACACUGACAUCAAGACACAUGCCCACAUAAAACUGUUACCCCAACACAGGAGUGCCGAAAAGACCGAUUAAAAACCAUAAAAGGAACUCAGCUAAUAUGCCCCAACUGUUUACCAAAAACAUAGCCUUUAGCCUAACCAUAAGUAUUAAAGGUACUGCCUGCCCAGUGACACUCUUUAACGGCCGCGGUAUCCUAACCGUGCAAAGGUAGCGUAAUCAUUUGUCCUCUAAAUAGGGACUAGUAUGAAUGGCUAAAUGAGGGCCUAACUGUCUCUUAUGGUCAAUCAAUGAACCUGAUCUCCCCGUACAAAAGCUGGGAUCUACACAUAAGACGAGAAGACCCUGUGGAGCUUAAAACAACACCACUACCCCACAACCAAUAAACCCACGAGGCCCAAACAUUCAAUAUAAUAGUGCUAGUUUUCAGUUGGGGCGACUUCGGAAUAAAAAAAACUUCCGAGCCACAGGUUAACACCCUAUCAAGACUCACAAGUCAAAAUAAACCACCAAUUUGACCCAGUAAUACUGAUCAUCGAACCAAGUUACCCCAGGGAUAACAGCGCCAUCCUCUUUAAGAGCCCCUAUCGCCAAGAGGGUUUACGACCUCGAUGUUGGAUCAGGACAUCCCGGUGGUGCAGCCGCUACCAAAGGUUCGUUUGUUCAACGAUUAACCAGUCCUACGUG
rnacentral:rRNA from 1 species